GAUGAACGCUGGCGGCGUGCCUAACACAUGCAAGUCGAGCGGGAUUGUGGAGUAGCUUGCUACGAAGCAAUCUAGCGGCGGACGGGUGAGUAACGCGUGGGCAACCUGCCCUAUACAGGGGGAUAACACACCGAAAGGUGUGCUAAUACCCCAUAACACCGAUGCUUCGCAUGGAGCGCCGGUCAAAGAUUUAUCGGUAUAGGAUGGGCCCGCGUCUGAUUAGCUAGUUGGUGAGGUAAAGGCUCACCAAGGCGACGAUCAGUAGCCGACCUGAGAGGGUGAUCGGCCACACUGGAACUGAGACACGGUCCAGACUCCUACGGGAGGCAGCAGUGGGGAAUAUUGCACAAUGGGGGAAACCCUGAUGCAGCAACGCCGCGUGAGCGAUGAAGGCCUCGGUCGUAAGACUCUGUCCUAAGGGAAGAAGAAUGACGGUACCUUAGGAGGAAGCCCCGGCGUAACUACGUGCCAGCAGCCGCG
rnacentral:rRNA from 1 species